rnacentral:hammerhead_ribozyme from 1 species
AUCCGAAACACCCGCUAUACAUUCAUCAUGAUAUAGCGGGUGUCUAUCCGGCGUUGGUUACCCGGAUACUGAUGAUGGUAAACCCAU